AACGAACGCUGGCGGCAUGCCUAACACAUGCAAGUCGAACGAGACCUUCGGGUCUAGUGGCGCACGGGUGCGUAACGCGUGGGAACCUGCCCUUAGGUUCGGCAUAACUCCCCGAAAGGGGUGCUAAUACCGGAUAAUGUCUUCGGACCAAAGAUUUAUCGCCUUUGGAUGGGCCCGCGUUGGAUUAGCUAGUUGGUAGGGUAAAAGCCUACCAAGGCGACGAUCCGUAGAUGCCCUGAGAGGAUGAUCAGCCACACUGGGACGGAGACACGGCCCAGACCCCUGGGAGUGGCAGCCGUCCCGAAUCCUCCGGGAUGGGCGAAAGGGGGACAGUGGAACGCCGCGUGAAAGACUAACCCCUCCGGACCGUAGAAGGCUGGAAGGCUUGAGGAUUAAAAGUCUUUUUUACCCGGGAUGUAUUGACGGUACCCGGUAAGAAAGCCCCCGCUAACUUCGUG
rnacentral:rRNA from 1 species